GAUGAACGCUGGCGGCGUGCCUAAUACAUGCAAGUCGAACGAGUUCUGAUUAUUGAAAGGUGCUUGCAUCUUGAUUUAAUUUUGAACGAGUGGCGGACGGGUGAGUAACACGUGGGUAACCUGCCCUUAAGUGGGGGAUAACAUUUGGAAACAGAUGCUAAUACCGCAUAAAUCCAAAAACCGCAUGGUUCUUGGCUGAAAGAUGGCGUAAGCUAUCGCUUUUGGAUGGACCCGCGGCGUAUUAGCUAGUUGGUGAGGUAACGGCUCACCAAGGCAAUGAUACGUAGCCGAACUGAGAGGUUGAUCGGCCACAUUGGGACUGAGACACGGCCCAAACUCCUACGGGAGGCAGCAGUAGGGAAUCUUCCACAAUGGACGCAAGUCUGAUGGAGCAACGCCGCGUGAGUGAAGAAGGCUUUCGGGUCGUAAAACUCUGUUGUUGGAGAAGAAUGGUCGGCAGAGUAACUGUUGUCGGCGUGACGGUAUCCAACCAGAAAGCCACGGCUAACUACGUGCCAGCAGCCGCGGUAAUACGUAGGUGGCAAGCGUUAUCCGGAUUUAUUGGGCGUAAAGCGAGCGCAGGCGGUUUUUUAAGUCUGAUGUGAAAGCCCUCGGCUUAACCGAGGAAGUGCAUCGGAAACUGGGAAACUUGAGUGCAGAAGAGGACAGUGGAACUCCAUGUGUAGCGGUGAAAUGCGUAGAUAUAUGGAAGAACACCAGUGGCGAAGGCGGCUGUCUGGUCUGUAACUGACGCUGAGGCUCGAAAGCAUGGGUAGCGAACAGGAUUAGAUACCCUGGUAGUCCAUGCCGUAAACGAUGAAUGCUAGGUGUUGGAGGGUUUCCGCCCUUCAGUGCCGCAGCUAACGCAUUAAGCAUUCCGCCUGGGGAGUACGACCGCAAGGUUGAAACUCAAAGGAAUUGACGGGGGCCCGCACAAGCGGUGGAGCAUGUGGUUUAAUUCGAAGCAACGCGAAGAACCUUACCAGGUCUUGACAUCUUUUGAUCACCUGAGAGAUCAGGUUUCCCCUUCGGGGGCAAAAUGACAGGUGGUGCAUGGUUGUCGUCAGCUCGUGUCGUGAGAUGUUGGGUUAAGUCCCGCAACGAGCGCAACCCUUAUGACUAGUUGCCAGCAUUUAGUUGGGCACUCCAGUAAGACUGCCGGUGACAAACCGGAGGAAGGUGGGGAUGACGUCAAAUCAUCAUGCCCCUUAUGACCUGGGCUACACACGUGCUACAAUGGAUGGUACAACGAGUUGCGAGACCGCGAGGUCAAGCUAAUCUCUUAAAGCCAUUCUCAGUUCGGACUGUAGGCUGCAACUCGCCUACACGAAGUCGGAAUCGCUAGUAAUCGCGGAUCAGCACGCCGCGGUGAAUACGUUCCCGGGCCUUGUACACACCGCCCGUCACACCAUGAGAGUUUGUAACACCCGAAGCCGGUGGCGUAACCCUUUUAGGGAGCGAGCCGUCUAAGGUGGGACAAAU
rnacentral:rRNA from 1 species